UGGGGAAUAUUGGACAAUGGGCGAAAGCCUGAUCCAGCAAUGCCGCGUGAGUGAUGAAGGCCUUAGGGUUGUAAAGCUCUUUUACCCGGGAUGAUAAUGACAGUACCGGGAGAAUAAGCUCCGGCUAACUCCGUGCCAGCAGCCGCGGUAAUACGGAGGGAGCUAGCGUUAUUCGGAAUUACUGGGCGUAAAGCGCACGUAGGCGGCUUUGUAAGUUAGAGGUGAAAGCCUGGAGCUCAACUCCAGAAUUGCCUUUAAGACUGCAUCGCUUGAAUCCAGGAGAGGUGAGUGGAAUUCCGAGUGUAGAGGUGAAAUUCGUAGAUAUUCGGAAGAACACCAGUGGCGAAGGCGGCUCACUGGACUGGUAUUGACGCUGAGGUGCGAAAGCGUGGGGAGCAACAGGAUUAGAUACCUGGUAGUCCACGCCGUAAACGAUGAUAACUAGCUGUCGGGGCUCUUAGAGCUUCGGUGGCGCAGCUAAC
rnacentral:rRNA from 1 species